rnacentral:rRNA from 1 species
CCGCAGCCGCGGUACCUCAACUCCAUAGCGUAUAUUAAAGUUGUUGCAGUUAAAAAGCUCGUAGUUGGAUUUCUGUUAAUAAUUAUAUAAAAUAUUUUGAUGAAUAUUUAUAUAAUAUUAACAUAAUUCAUAUUACUAUUUUUUUUUUUAUAUAAAAAAUUUCUUUUAGAAAAAUAUAGUGCUUUUAACAGGCGGCUUCCUCGUAUACUCCCCCAUGGGGUAAUAUUAAAAAAUUUUUUUUUUUUUUUUGGUGCUUUAAAAAAAAUAAUGAUUAAUAAGGGCGCCGGGGGGGGUUUUUUUUUUACAACCGGAGGGGGAAAUUUUUUUUUUGUUUAAAACAAACUACUGCGGCAACAUCUUCGCCGGAGGUUUUUUUUUUUAAAAAACAAAAGAUGGGGGGUCGAAAAAAACCACAUACCCCCGUGGUAUUUAUCACCAACAAUGCCCCCCAAGUGGGGGGGGGGGGGGGGGGUC